GGAAUUUUGGACAAUGGGGGCAACCCUGAUCCAGCCAUGCCGCGUGCGGGAAGAAGGCCUUCGGGUUGUAAACCGCUUUUAGCCGGGAAGAAAAGGCAGCACCUAAUACGGGCUGUUCUUGACGGUACCGGCGGAAUAAGCGCCGGCUAACUACGUGCCAGCAGCCGCGGUAAUACGUAGGGUGCGAGCGUUAAUCGGAAUUGCUGGGCGUAAAGCGUGCGCAGGCGGUUCGUUAAGUUCGUCGUGAAAGCCCCGGGCUCAACCUGGGAACGGCGAUGGAAACUGGCGAGCUGGAGUGCGGCAGAGGGGGGUGGAAUUCCGCGUGUAGCAGUGAAAUGCGUAGAGAUGCGGAGGAACACCGAUGGCGAAGGCAGCCCCCUGGGCCGACACUGACGCUCAGGCACGAAAGCGUGGGGAGCAA
rnacentral:rRNA from 1 species